rnacentral:lncRNA from 1 species
CAGGUCAUUUGAACUGCUAAUGAUAUGGCUACUCUAGAAUUCUGUUUUCUGCAUACCAUCUAUGAGCUAUUUAACCCUGGGGCCUCCCUUCUCUGAAGACACAGGACUGAAGACGCCUGGCUGGCAAGGCAGGAGUAUGUUAAGAGGAAAAGUGUUAUUUCAGCAGGCUCACCACAGAGGCUCUCUAGAGGGAUCGGCUCGAAUGGCUGAACAGAAGGAACCUGAAUUUGUUGACACGAUGUCUCCUCAGCCUGAGUGGGGACCAGUGAUUGCCUUGGAUUCUGAUGGCAGAGCAGUUUAUCCGCGAUUUGUUUACGAUGCUUUACCAGAAAAGAGACAUUAAAUCAAAAGCAAGCACA